AACCAUAGAAACCUGCGGAGUACCUGCGGAAGGAUCAUUACAGAGUGUAACCCCCUGUAAAAUGGGGGUACCUCCCGUCCUUUGCAGGCCCUUUAGGGUCUUUUACACUUUGCUUCGGUGGGGUAACCCACCGGAACACUCCCAAAAAAUUCUGAUUUUAAAAUUGUUCAGUCUGAGAAUUUUGAAAAUAAAAUAAAAACUUUCAACAACGGAUCU
rnacentral:misc_RNA from 1 species